AGGAUCCCAAAUGGCAGGUGCAGUGGGAAUUAUCUGAUGAGCUGCUUUGCCACUCUUGCCAUUCCUUCGUUGCCUUAUGCCCUCACAGAACUUUGCUUAAGCCAAGAAUGUGAAGUUAUUAAUUGUCACCACGCUGACUCUUCUGGCUGCCUUGAGCUUAUGUCCCUUAUUACAAUAUAUAAUGCAUCACAGUGGUGAAAUGGGGCACCAUAGCAACAAGGGCAUGUGGGAGCUGGCUAUUAAACCAGAAAGAGAAGUGUAUUGCCCAGCACACAACUGGUGGACAGCCAGCAGAGCAAUGACAUAUGGAAGUGUCCCUUCUCCACGUACUGUCAUGGACAUGUGAACAUGACCAGUCCUGGGGCCAGAAAAUGAGGCACUCCCAACGUGGCACACCCAGGGCAGAAGGAGCGUGGAGGAAGGGGGAAGCAAGGGUCUCAGAUGCAGCCAACAGCAAUGGAAACCUUGGCCUCCAGCACAGUGUGACCUUAGCUGUGUUGCCUUGAAUGCACAUUCUCUGUGUUGUACAGCCUUGUUGAAGCUAUAAGAAGUGUUGUUGAUGCUUUUCUGUCCAGAGAGAGAAAAAAUCCUCUGCUCUUCUCUAUCUACAAAGGAAAAAAAAAAAAAAAAAAACAGUUUCCAGGAUACCAAUGUCAUCAGCAGUCAGGACAAACACGCUUGUUCUGUUCAUCAGCCUUUGUGGGAGCAAAAGAAUCUAACAACUCGGAAACAUGCGAUAGCCGAGCUUAUUGUGACCAGAAGAUCUGCUGUCUUGCAGAAAUGAAUUAACCAUGAGUAGUGCUGCUGAAAAUAAUGGAAAUAUUUAUUUGGAUCGACAAGUGGUAUCGUGGAAGAAGAUAGCCUAAGUUAACAGCAAAUAAUGAAAAGUAGAGUCAAAAGCAGAAGUACUGAACUAAAUGAAAAAUUCACGGUUAUGUGCCAGAAAUUUGUAGACAGAAAAUAGCAUUAAAGUUUGCUGUUGUUGACGGCAGAUCUAUAGCUCUUCAUUAGGACAUUAAAAAGGAAGUUGGUGCAAG
rnacentral:lncRNA from 1 species